CAGCCGAUUUUUAUUCUGUGCAAUAUGUGCUCAAGCUAUUCUCUUUGUAACCCUCUUUGCAAGUAUCUGAGAUCUGACCUGUUUAUCUUUCUUUUUUACUUGACUGUGGGGUAAGAACCUGCUGUUUACACUAAGUGAGGUGUGGAGCUCUCUACACAAGCCCUGCUGAGAAAAAGAAAUUCAGUCUUAACAAUUCCAACCGGAAAGGCUGUUUCAACAAUGGCACCUCGCUUGCCUCUCCUUUCAAAACUGAGUCCUAGUUUUUAUCACUUUGCAGUAGCCUCGGACACAAUACAGAGCACCAGAUGGACAUGAGGAUGUGUGAUUUUGCUCAUCGAUUCUGAAAAAGAGCCUUUCUCUGUUUGUUAUUUAGGUUGAUAUAAAUGGUGUCAGAAAACGGGACCUGAAGAAAGCUCGCUCUCAGAAGAAUCGGCGGUUCUUGACUUCGGCGUGCAGUCCUCACUUGAGCCCUCUGAGAUCCCUGCCUCAGCAGCUGGCCUUUUCGGCCCUGGAGUCUUCUCUUAGGCUGAGCUUAUCUCUUUUUGUCAGAGCAUUUUUGAUAUUAUUUGGGAUCUGGUUUGGUUAUAAGGCUGCCUUAAAUGAAGGAUCUUACAUCUCUUCUGGGAUGAUAAACGACUAUAUGUCUUUUCUGGUAAGUCCUUUCUGGUAUAAAAACAAGUGUCUUUCUGUUUGAGUGCUCUGAUUUCUACAGAAUUUGCAGUCUGUCUCUGAGCCAUGUUUUUUUUUUUUUUUUCUGGUGAAUUCUCUUUUGGUCUGCAUGCCUAAUAUUUUAUUUGAUUAAUAUGCCUGAUAACUUAAACGGUGGUGACUACCCUAAUGGCUUUCAAUUAGUCAUCCUGCAUCCACUAUUGAGUAUUUUUUGCUUCUUUGUUUUUUUGUUUUGUUUUGUUUUGCUUGGCUCUCGGAAGAUUUUCAGAAACAAGCAAGGGGAAAGAGCCAAAUCAGGUGCUUGUCGUCCAAAUAAAACUAAGAUAAAAGUGUUCACAAACAUUUUAACCUAGGCAUGUUAAUCCUAGAGAAGACUACACGGCCAAAAAGGCGAGCUGCUGAGGGAGGAAUCUCAGAGAACUUUACAGAAGUUUGUGUGUGUGUGUGUGUGUGUGUGUGUAAGAUUGUGAUGGCCUUUGUGCAAGGUUGUAGUUUUUGCAGAGUCUUUUGUGAUAGUUUUUGUUAUCAGGCACACAAGCAUGCAAACCUGCUCUUCAGAGCCUUUUCCAACCCUAUUCGUCAAGUUUUUUUUUUUUAAUACUGGUGACUCUAUUUUGAUUCUGACAACUUUCACAUUUCCCACCUUUGAUCAAGAUCUUUCUCUGAAAGCAUCACUGAUUAUCCUGUAGUUGGAUGUGACGGCCCUUGGUCCCAGUUGCUUGUCUCAUCCCACCUUGUGGGGAGUGAAUGUCGGCUAAGAGUCAGUGUCAAAACCCUUUCAGCCACAUUUGAACAAUAAGGGAGAUUUGAAGAAAGUGGUUCUCAUGCUAAUUCUACCUAGAGUCUAUUAUUAAGUUCAAUUUUGUCUGUUCCAUAGUCUUUUGUUAUCAUCUCAAAGUGCUGGGCUAGUAUUAUCCUAUUAGGGUUGUGUUUCUGCAAAAAUUUUAAUAAGUAAUAGAUACAAAGUUUUUGUUUGGUUUUGAGAUGGGGUCUCUGUCACCCAGGUUGGAGUACAGUAGUAGUGUGAUCCGGGGUCACUGCAACUUCUGCCUCCCAGGCUCAAGCAGUCCUCCCACCUCAGCCCCUGGAGUAGCUGGGACCACAGGGCUUGCAGAUACAAAGUUUAAAAAGGGAAAAUACAAAGUAAAAAUAUCAAGGCUUCAGUGAGCCAUGACCCAUGGUGCCACUGCACUCCAGCCUGGGUGACCGUGUGAGACCCUGUCUCAGACAACAACAACCAACGGCAGCAACAAAGUAAAAAUAAUAGUAGUAUGAAAAUCCCAGUUUAAAUAAUGGUAUUGAGCCAUACACUGAGGCUUAAAGAUAAACAAUUGAAGACAUCAAAUGAUGAGAGAGAAUUAAGUGAGAGCUGUUAUUACCAUGUGGCCUGUUUUCCUAUUUAACCAAUGGAUAUUAAAGGAUCUCUUAGUCAAGUUUCCAGCAGGAGCUACUGAUUAUGAAAUUUCAAUUACAUUAUUAUCUUGCCAAGUGAAAAAGUAGGCAUUAAAAGGGGUAAGAGUCUCAUGAUGUGGAGUCUUUCGAUGUCUUAAGAAAAGCAUGAAAACAUCAACUCUCCUGGUUUGCAGUCUGAACAUCUCUGGUCAUGACAUUAGGCAGCAUGAUGGAUUUCUUGUUUGGCCCAUACAUCAGGUAUGAGACUUGUUCCUUUCUAUCUUAUUUCACUAGUAUUAAAGAAAAAAAAACACUUGACAAAUAGGGUUGGGGAAGGCUAUGAAGAGUGGGUUCGCUUGCUUGUGUACCUGAUAACAAAAAAUAUCACAAAAGACUGUAAAAACCACAACCUUGCAUGAAGGCCACACAAUCUUAUACACACACACACACACACACACACACACACACACACAAAUACUUCUGUAAAGACAUCUGCCCAGUAAUUGCUUGUCCAACCUUGUACUGGCAUCACCCUUUCUAUUGAUCUUUGUAGCAAGGAUAAUUAUCUCCAAACAAUUAUGUAAUCCAUCUCAUUUUUCCUUUAAAAAUUUUUGUCUUUCUUUACCUCUCUUAGUAUGCACAUAGUUUACUAUGGCACACAUAUUUCCAUUGCAAUGCCUUACUCCUGAGUACAUAUCAUUUUUAUUUUAGAGAGCCCCUCUUCUGUUUGUUAUUUAAGUUGACAAGUGCUGAGAUUGAAGAGCUGACAAAAGAAAGAUGUUAGUCUGAAUUUGAACUUUCAAGUUCAUAUUCAACCAAUUCAGGCCUGGUUACGUAUGUCCCAAAACCUUACCUCAUUCACCAUUGUAAUGGCCAAACCAUGAGUCUCCCAUAAAUAGUGGAGUCUUUUGGAUCCAGUAAGAAGUUUAUAUAAGAUUUGAAGCUGAUAAAUCCUAAAGUGACCUCUUCCAAAAUCUAUUAAUUCAUGGCCUCUGAAGCUUAGCCAAAAUCUUUGUUACUAUUACUUCCCCUACCAGGAACAUGUGGAUACAGCCUACAUUGACCCAGACAUGAAACAGAUAGAACUACUCAUUCAUUCGACACAUAUUUGUGAGUUAUAUCCCAGGCACUUUUCGAGGUCCUGGGGAAAUAACAAUGAACUAAGUAAAGUUCUAGACUCCAUAUAGCCUCUCUUCCAAUUUAAAUCAACAAUUAAUCGAUAGAGGCUAGAGAGAAGCCAAAUGGGAUCAGAAAUGGUGCUUUAAAAGACAUUCAUUCAGCAAAAAAUCACCCAGAAGUUUAGAUAAUCUCUUUUGCAUCUCAUCUCAACCACUCAAUCCCAGGUGUGGCCACAAAUAGGCCUAGCACAAGUAUAACAAGUGUUAAAGGGAGAGGGACAUUAUUUAUCUGAACCUACAACUUUAUCUUAGAUAAAGAUGGAUUAAUUAUAAUAUAAUGCUGACACCAAUUGCAGUGAAAAAAUUUCCCCCAGAGAGUCCCCCAUUUGCAGGUACUGUUUAUUAAUAGAUUGUCUAUGGAGGAGGGAUUUUAGCUGUAAAAUUUGCAAAUAAGACAUUUCCCAGGGAGUGUUUCAGAUUGGAAGUUUCCAGCAGUUAGUGUCUAACCAUGCAAGUGGAAUAGAGAGGUCUCUAAACUAAAACUGAGAAAGUAUUCUUUGGGCGUUGGCCAGUAGAAGUUCACUGGUGACAUAGGAAAGAACAGUUUCAGCCAAGAGCUGGAAGGAAUGAUACCAACAUUGUCUUUGUCUUUGGUGGAUUUCUAAGUCCCCAAAUGGAAGUUGAUGAUAAUCUACGGUUCUCCUUUGUGAAAUGUCUCAGCAACUUGAAAGAAAGAAUCUCUACAUAAAUCUAGCACUCUGUUGUUGCUUAGUCACUGUCAACCUGUUUUAUUUUGUUGGUUUGAGUUACCUUAAUGUUUCCUCGUUAUAAAUAGAUAAGUUCAACCGACAUCAAGAUCUCUGACUGCAGUAGGAUUCUGUGGGGAAUCUGGAAGCACUACCAUUUAGCACAUUACUAAGACGUAACACAUGCCCCAUCCCCUGUCAGACCUCUGAUUUGUGCAUCGAAUCCCCAGAAUCCCCAGAACAAUAAUAGACUUUACUUUGUGAUUCCUCUGGUGACACAUUUCUUUUAGUUCUUCUGGCAGAGCUGGAGACUCGCACGACAAAUUCACUCUGACGUUGUUUUCUAAUUAGGUGCCUUGACACAGCAGGCAUUCCAGUCUCCAACAUUUCUUUUGUUUCUCUAAUGUGCCAGAAAGCUGUCUGCUUUUUAGCUGCCUGACCUUUCAGAAAUGUUACCUGCCCUGUAAAAUGAGAUAACACAUGGAAGGCACCUGGCUCAGUCCGUGGCACCUGAGAGAUUCUUGAGAAGUGUUCAUUCCAUUGCCCUGUUUCCUCUCUCCGCCUUCAUACCUUCUGGUGCUUUAGUGAACCUCAAAGAUAAAAAUAUUCCCGUUGUAAGGUUUACAUUUUUCUUCAUCCCAAAAUAGAACUCAGUAACUCUAUAAGCAGAUACUAUAUGGAUUCCACAUUUCAUUUCCUCUUAUUCUCACAGGGUACCUUACAAGUUAGAAAUUUGUAUUGUCUCUGCUUUUUGGAGAAAGGAAUCUUAACUUUUCUCAAGUAACCGAGGUUGCAGAGUGGGUCAAUAAGGAACGUGGGACAAGAACCCGCAUGCGCCUCUCUCCAAAAGUCUUCAUCCUCAACCCCUGCACCAGACUGUCUUCCACACAUGGGCUCUGAGCGGCCAGCACUGGAUCUGGAGAAGCCACCACCCUGUCCUGUCCUCCAGGCAGAACGGAAGUGUGCCUGACCCCAGCUGUAAGCACCCGCCCUCUGUGGCCCGGAAAGAAUCCAGUCGCAGGGCUUGGCCCUUCCCCAUCCCCUCCUCUGGGCAGCCCGCGUUGAGUCCCAUCUGGAACGUGGAGGAAGAAGGCCCUGUAGCAAACGCACAGCUAGACCCCCUCCCUCCCUGCCAGGCCUCCCUCGCCAACUCCAUGCCCAAUUUCAGCCCUGAGGGGCGAGAACAGCAGGUGCUCGGGCCGCCUUCGCCCUUGGUGUUCUGGGAGCCCAUUGUCUAAUUUUGCUCGGGCCUGGCCUGCUUCCUUUUUAGUCCUGCGCAUGUGGGCAGAGUACAAGCUAAUUGGCAGGGCUGUUCCAAAUCCUAAAGAACGCGCGCGCUGCCUGCUCGCCAGCGGGAGGGCCGUGUGCCCAGCUUGCGCCCUGACAUUUUCCGAGGCCUGGGCGAGGCCACCUGCCUGACGAAGGCUUACCAGGGAAAAUCAGGUCCUGACAGCCUGACAGGGACAACCGCCCAGAGGAUUCAUCUGCUCGCGAUGCCUGGUCAGCAAGGAGGAGACUCGACCUGGGACGAGGAAGAGGCCUUGAAGGGACAGAGGAGAGCGCAUCCUCCAUCCCCCGGCCAGGGAGAAGUCACGCGGACCCCCAGGUUGCUGGGCCGCGAUGGGGGGAAGAGGAGACCACCCCCAGCUCCGCAGCGAGCGCCCUCACUUCGGGGAGACAGAGGCGUCGAUCCCUCCUGCGGACGGCUGGGGGCGCUGCGCUUCAACCGAAGGCAGAGAUCCUGGACCGGGGCGAGGCAAGCCCUCCCGGAGGAGAGGAGCUCUGAAGGGGGAAAACAGCUCUGCAGAGUGUAGAGGAGCCGGACUUUGCAGCCAGGUACCUCUGUGCAAGUCUCAGCUGUGCCUCUGAAGUAGCUAGCCGUUGCCCAGCACUGUGCUAAGGUCUUUUCAUCACUGUGUAAUUGAAGGCUCACAGCCACCCUUUAAGGAAAA
rnacentral:lncRNA from 1 species